rnacentral:rRNA from 1 species
ACGGAGAGUUUGAUUCUGGCUCAGAACGAACGCUGGCGGCGUGGAUAAGACAUGCAAGUCGUGCGACAGACCAGGAAUUGAUUACUUCGGUUUGAUUUUCCUGACGAUGAGCGGCGAACGGGUGCGUAACACGUGAGAAACCUGCCUUAAAGUUCGGGAUAGCUCGGCGAAAGUCGAAUUAAUACCGGAUGUGGCCUUGGGAUAGCAUUUUCCCUUGGUUAAAGCUCGGUCACAGAGCGCUUUUAGAUGGUCUCGCGGUCUAUCAGCUUGUUGGUGAGGUAACGGCUCACCAAGGCUACGACGGAUAACUGAUCUGAGAGGAUGAUCAGUCACACUGGAACUGAGANACGGUCCAGACACCUACGGGUGGCAGCAGUCGAGAAUCAUUCACAAUGGGCGCAAGCCUGAUGGUGCGACGCCGCGUGGGGGAUGAAGGGCUUCGGUNNGUAAACCCCUGUCAUCUGUGAGUAAGGCUCUCNNAUAAAAGCUUNNGAGAAUUGAUAUUANCAGAAGAGGAAGGGACGGCUAACUCNGUGCCAGCAGCCGCGGUAAUACNGAGGUCCCAAGCGUUGUUCGGAUUUACUGGGCGUAAAGGGUGCGUAGGCGGNUANAAAAGUUUGGUGUGAAAUCUNCGGGCUCAACCCGGAAACUGCANUGAAAACUANNUNNCUNGAGGAUCGGAGAGGAGAUUGGAAUUCUCAGUGUAGCAGUGAAAUGCGUAGAUAUUGAGAGGAACACCAGUUGCGAAGGCGGAUCUCUGGACGANUCCUGACGCUGAGGCACGAAAGCUGGGGNAGCGAAGAGGAUUAGAUACCCUCGUAGUCCCAGCCGUAAACGGUGCGCACUUGCUGUGGGCGGAUUCGACCCCGUCCGUGGCGAAGCUAACGCGUUAAGUGCGCCGCCUGGGGAGUACGGUCGCAAGAUUAAAACUCAAAGAAAUUGACGGGGGCCUGCACAAGCGGUGGAGUAUGUGGCUUAAUUCGAUGCAACGCGAAGAACCUUACCUGGCCUUGACAUGUAGUGGCCCGGGUGCGAAAUCACCCUUUUCUUCGGAACUGCUACACAGGUGCUGCAUGGCUGUCGUCAGCUCGUGUCGUGAGAUGUUGGGUUAAGUCCCGCAACGAGCGCAACCCCCGUGUUCUGUUGCCACCCGGAUGAGAAUCCGGAGCACUCUGGACANACUGCCUGGUUUCAACCAGGAGGAAGGUGGGGAUGACGUCAAGUCAGUAUGGCCCUUACGGCCAGGGCUGCACACGUACUACAAUGCCNGNUANAAUGGGAAGCGAGACCGCGAGGUGGAGCAAAUCCUCAAAANCNGGCCCAGUUCAGAUUGUAGGCUGCAACUCGCCUACAUGAAGGAGGAAUCGCUAGUAAUGCCGUAUCAGCUACGACGGCGUGAAUACGUUNCCAGGCCUUGUACACACCGCCCGUCACAUCAUGAAAGUCGAUUGUACCCGAAGUCGCCGAGUUAACCGCAAGGAGACAAGCGCCGAAGGUAUGGUUGGUAAUUGGGAUGAAGUCGUAACAAGGUAGCCGUAGGGGAACCUGUGGCUGGAUCACCUCCUUUCUAAGGA